rnacentral:rRNA from 1 species
UACGGAGGGUGCAAACGUUGCUCGGAAUCAUUGGGCGUAAAGCGCACGUAGGCGGCGCGUUAAGUCGGGUGUGAAAUCCCCGGGCUCAACCCGGGAACUGCGUCCGAUACUGGAAGGCUUGAAUCCGGGAGAGGGAUGCGGAAUUCCAGGUGUAGCGGUGAAAUGCGUAGAUAUCUGGAGGAACACCGGUGGCGAAGGCGGCAUCCUGGACCGGCAUUGACGCUGAGGCGCGAAAGCCAGGGGAGCAAACGGG